GCAGGGUGGUACAGUGGGUAGAGUUGUCGCCUACCAAGCCGUCGGCAGUGGUUAGAUUCCAUCCGCCCGCA